UGGGGGAUAUUGCACAAUGGAGGAAACUCUGAUGCAGCAACGCCGCGUGAAGGAUGAAGGUCUUCGGAUUGUAAACUUUUGUACUUGGGGACGAUAAUGACGGUACCCAAGCAGCAAGCUCCGGCUAACUACGUGCCAGCAGCCGCGGUAAUACGUAGGGAGCAAGCGUUGUCCGGAUUUACUGGGUGUAAAGGGUGCGUAGGCGGCUAUGCAAGUCAGUUGUGAAAACUAUGGGCUCAACCCAUAGCCUGCAAUUGAAACUGCGUGGCUUGAGUGAAGUAGAGGUAGGUGGAAUUCCCGGUGUAGCGGUGAAAUGCGUAGAGAUCGGGAGGAACACCAGUGGCGAAGGCGACCUACUGGGCUUUAACUGACGCUGAGGCACGAAAAGCAUGGGUAG
rnacentral:rRNA from 1 species